rnacentral:rRNA from 1 species
AACGAACGCUGGCGGCAUGCCUAACACAUGCAAGUCGAACGAGACCUUCGGGUCUAGUGGCGCACGGGUGCGUAACGCGUGGGAAUCUGCCCUUUGCUUCGGAAUAACAGUUAGAAAUGACUGCUAAUACCGGAUGAUGUCUUCGGACCAAAGAUUUAUCGGCAAAGGAUGAGCCCGCGUAGGAUUAGGUAGUUGGUGGGGUAAAGGCCUACCAAGCCGACGAUCCUUAGCUGGUCUGAGAGGAUGAUCAGCCACACUGGGACUGAGACACGGCCCAGACUCCUACGGGAGGCAGCAGUGGGGAAUAUUGGACAAUGGGCGAAAGCCUGAUCCAGCAAUGCCGCGUGAGUGAUGAAGGCCUUCGGUCGUAAGACNCUUUACCUACGUACGAUGAUGACGGUAGUAGGAGAAUAAG